rnacentral:rRNA from 1 species
UAUUGCGCAAUGGAGGAAACUCUGACGCAGUGACGCCGCGUAUAGGAAGAAGGUUUUCGGAUNGUAAACUAUUGUCGUGAGGGAANNCCNNNANAGUACCUCAGGAGGAAGCUCCGGCUAACUAUGUGCCNNNANCCGCGGUAAUACAUAGGGAGCAAGCGUUAUCCGGAUUUAUUGGGUGUAAAGGGUGCGUAGACGGGAAAUUAAGUUAGUUGUGAAAUCCCUCGGCUUAACUGAGGAACUGCAACUAAAACUGGUUUUCUUGAGUACUGGAGAGGAAAGUGGAAUUCCUAGUGUAGCGGUGAAAUGCGUAGAUAUUAGGAGGAACACCAGUGGCGAAGGCGACUUUCUGGACAGUAACUGACGUUGAGGCACGAAAGUGUGGGGAGCAAACAGG